AGGAGCUGGGUUGGUGUAAAGGCGGCAGGUUUGGACCAUAGACUCUAAAACAUGGACUAGAGGGGGCGUUUUGAAGCUCAACGAUGGCGGUCACCAAACUGUAAAUGCAGGCUCAACCCAACUUUCAGUAAACCUGGAAACAGGCAAAGAGCUGGAGUCUGUCAGCCCAGAUGUACCCCUGGAUAUGCAGAAUGUUGUCUAAUCAGCUUAUAUAUGCAGUGCUGCCACCUAUAGGACUGGAGUGGAACAAGGAGAGGAUGCAGCUAUAAUGCAGAGCAUAAGAUUGGGCACUCGUGACCUUUAUUGGAGCCGAUAGCAGCCGGCAUGGAUACCAGGGAGCUCAUGUUGGCACAACAAUGGGUAGUAGUGCAGCUAGAUUACAGAUCUACGUGAUAACAGCUCUGCUCAGGACUGCUGACCAGAUGAAGCAGCGCUCAUAACGGUUGCAAACAGAAGUCGUCACCAAGCAGCAACCUCCAGUGAGCAAGAAACUGCAGUUCUUCGAGUGUCCACUUGAGGCUGGCUCCAAAAGCCAAAGAAACCCCAUCAGAGCCCAUAUCCAAACGUCCAUCUGCUGAAUUAAACAUGUUUAUA